GAUGAACGCUGGCGGCGUGCCUAAUACAUGCAAGUCGAGCGAACGGACGAGAAGCUUGCUUCUCUGAUGUUAGCGGCGGACGGGUGAGUAACACGUGGAUAAUCUACCUAUAAGACUGGGAUAACUUCGGGAAAUCGGAGCUAAUACCGGAUAAUAUUCUGAACCGCAUGGUUCAAAAGUGAAAGACGGUCUUGCUGUCACUUAUAGAUGGAUCCGCGCUGCAUUAGCUAGUUGGUAAGGUAACGGCUUACCAAGGCAACGAUGCAUAGCCGACCUGAGAGGGUGAUCGGCCACACUGGAACUGAGACACGGUCCAGGCUCCUACGGGAGGCAGCAGUAGGGAAUCUUCCGCAAUGGGCGAAAGCCUGACGGAGCAGCGCCGCGUGAGUGAUGAAGGUCUUCGGAUCGUAAAACUCUGUUAUUAGGGAAGAACAUAUGUGUAAGUAACUGUGCACAUCUUGACGGUACCUAGUCAGAAAGCCACGGCUAACUACGUG
rnacentral:rRNA from 1 species